CAAGGGGUGUUAGCUUCGACGAGCUAUCAGUACAACAAGGAUCCUUGCCCUGAUACAAAACCUUCAUAUCAAUCUUUACUGAAACAAGAGUACAUCAAGUUACAUACGAGUACAAGGACUCGGCUUACACGAAGACUACAAGCAACUGCCUACUGGCGGGCUGCAUUUAAGCCUCAGGCUUUUACUAUAUCACAAGGCCACU
rnacentral:lncRNA from 1 species